UACAUGCAAGUCGAACGAACACUUCGGUGUUAGUGGCGCACGGGUGCGUAACGCGUGGGAAUCUACCCUUGGGUUCGGAAUAACAGUUAGAAAUGACUGCUAAUACCGGAUGAUGACGUAAGUCCAAAGAUUUAUCGCCCAAGGAUGAGCCCGCGUAAGAUUAGCUAGUUGGUAAGGUAAAGGCUUACCAAGGCUACGAUCUUUAGCUGGUCUGAGAGGAUGAUCAGCCACACUGGGACUGAGACACGGCCCAGACUCCUACGGGAGGCAGCAGUAGGGAAUAUUGGACAAUGGGGGCAACCCUGAUCCAGCAAUGCCGCGUGAGUGAUGAAGGCCUUAGGGUUGUAAAGCUCUUUUACCCGAGAUGAUAAUGACAGUAUCGGGAGAAUAAGCUCCGGCUAACUCCGUGCCAGCAGCCGCGGUAAUACGGAGGGAGCUAGCGUUGUUCGGAAUUACUGGGCGUAAAGCGCGCGUAGGCGGCUGUUUAAGUCAGAGGUGAA
rnacentral:rRNA from 1 species